GGGGGGCAUUCGGACACAGCCUUCAUCACCAUCAUCAUCAGGUAGGCUGCUGACAGCUGGCCGCCGUGCCGCCACCGUCACCAUGGAAACGAGCACGUGCAGCGUCCGCAGCUCGGACCAGGUUUGUUCCAGCUUCCAGAUCAGCAUGGAUCCAUCAAACCAGCAAACAUUUAAUCCCAGCAAAAGUCCAGUUUCUCACAUCACCAUCAGCAACUUUUCUAGACGUUAUUUUAAUUGUUCAUAAGUGUACAUUUCCACAUGUGUGCAGUAACCCUGACACCUGAACGGACUCACCUCACCAUGCAAACUGAAGUCACAUCUGUUA